UGGCGGGCGGCGGGCAGGGGCCGGCCCGGCCGCCUCUGGGCUCGGCCCCCUCAGGGCUCGGCCCCACAGCGCUCGGCGCCUGGGUGUUUGCGGCGCUGUGUGUUUGAAACGGGCCAAAGGAAAUUCAUCAGUGCUGAAGUGAUUGAGAAAGAGCUCCUUCGUAUUUACAAGCCUUGACAAUUCUUCCAGGGAACAUGAGAGCUAUCACUGGUUGUUACUGACAUUCUGCUCCGUCAAUUUAUGAAUCAACAGCCCAGCUUCAAACUGCAUCCAGAUGUAAGCUGACAAUGGUUGGGAAACUCCCACCUCCCUGGAGCAAUGGUUCCCUGCACCAAGCAGCAGCAAGACAUCAUCCCAGGACCAAAGGCUUCUCUCUUGAACAAGCUGCUCACUGGGGUCCGUUAUUCCACUUGGUAAAAUCCUGCCUGUUUUUCAGUUUUAAGUUCUCAGUUACUCUUUUGCCUUACAGGGCCUGGCUGAGUGUUCUACUCAAAUCUUUGCUUUUGGCAGCUGUACAGGUUCUUGCUUUUUAAGAAAGUGCUUGUUAGAUGGACUGUAGGUGGUGAGCUGGGCAUCUCAUGUUUACAAAGGCACAAGUGUCAGCUUUGCCCAUCUUGCAGCUCAUUUUCAUUGGGGUUUUUUUGGUAGUGAUAUGAGGGUUGUUACUAAUGGUCUGUCUCAGUGGUGUUGGAUUUCUUGUUCCCGUUUUUUAUUUCCCUGCUUCCAGAUGAAAGGAGAGCACACACCUGCCUUGCCCCAGCAGGGCAGUGCAAGCUCCUGUGUACCCAGGUGCCAGAAGCCUCUGGACAGCAGGGCUGGGCUCUUGCUGCUCAGUGUGCAACAUCUGCAAACUUCUGUCCUGCCAAAAUGAAGAGUUUCCAGUUUACCUGGUAAAUUCCUGAGCAGUUUCCAAGGUGCACUACCUUAAUUUAGAGCCAUGGGACUCUUCCUCUGGUCCUCCCUGAUGCUCUUUUACAUACCUUACAAAGAUGAGCCUGUUACUAACUACCGCCCUUUGGUAAUAACACCGGCUUGGUGUAACACUUGAUGGCACCUUCAUGCUGGCUAUAAAAAUAGAAACACCAAGUAUGACUUG